rnacentral:SRP_RNA from 1 species
GCUGGGCAAGGUGGUGGGCGCCUGUAGUCCCAGCUACUCGGGAGGCUGAGGCAGGAGAAUGGCAUAAACCCGGGAGGCGGAGCUUGCGGUGAGCUGAGAUCCGGCCACUGUACUCCAGCCUGGGUGACAGAUUGAGACUCUGUCUCAAACAAACAAAAAAAGGAAUAAAGAAAAACUCAAAAUUUAAAAAGUCUUGUAGAGAACUUUUUUUUUUUUUUCUUUUUUUGAGAUGGAGUCUCGCUCUGUCACCCAGGCUGGAGUGCAGUGGCCGGAUCUCAGCUCACCGCAAGCUCCGCCUCCCGGGUUUAUGCCAUUCUCCU